UUCACCGCUUUAUUGCAUUGAAAACUAAGCUUAUUUUACAUGGUUUUCAAGUUGAAGAAUAUGCAUGAUUAAAGUUUUAUACGAAAAAUGUUUUAUGUCUCUGUGUGUAUUGUAGGUAAAAAACAUGGAAAGUCUUUUGUCCUUUUCUGUUAAUGUUUGGGUGUUAUUUCAGUGACAGGUUUUGAUGGGUUUUCAGGCGGUGACGAUCGGAUGGAGCGGGGAUCUGGUGUUGAGAAACUUGAGGAUGAGAGGAGAGUGAGAAUUGAGUCGUUACAAAAGAAAGCUCUCGAUACUUGCAGCGCACUUCUUUCCUUCUGUUUUGCACUUGCCCAAUCAUGAUAUAACUAUCUCAAGAAGGAUUUAUUUUUAUUUGCAUUAUGUUCUACGUCUUCCAGUUUCCUACUAAGCCUCGGCUUUCUCUUAUUUGUGUAUUUUUGUAGGCUAGGUUUGCAUGCAUUUCGCUGUGCUUUGCAUCGAGCAGUUGGUGUAGGCUAUGGAUUCCUGCCUGUUCUUGGUUUCACUCCCGUCCAGUGAACUCAAACCUGUUGUUGAUGAUCAAGCUAGCAUGGAAUCUGACGGUGAUUGAUACCAAGAGCAUGCUUUGCCAGAUAGGGAUGUUGAAUGGCCUCCAACAACAAAGAGAAGUGGGAAUCUCAUUGGCAAUCUUGGCAGAAGUAACUGACUCACAAUCCAAAAACUCAACAUGUAUAUUUUCCUUCUUUUUUGAAUUGAUUUGGUUUGAGUUGAUCUAUUUUACUUGGGUCCUUGGGCUUGACAAUCCAUCUUGAGAGAUGGUUCAGUUUGGAAAUAGUGGUUUUAUGUCGGGAAUUAGGACUUGCUCUGUGACUGGUGCCGGAGACUGUCUCCUGAUAUGGUUCCUAUGCAUAGCUCUUCUGUGCGAGGGAUGCAAGAUGAGUUGCAUGCUGUAUUUUUUUUGUAAAUAAAUUCAUGAUUUGUCAUUGGGUUCUUCUUACUAGUCUGUUGUCUCUACAUUCUUCUUAUCGUGUGGCUAUUCUUAAUAAAAAAAUCAAAGGUUUGAAGAAGCACCA